rnacentral:rRNA from 1 species
UACGUAGGGGGCUAGCGUUGUCCGGAAUCAUUGGGCGUAAAGCGCGCGUAGGCGGCCCGGUAAGUCAAAGGUGAAAUCCCUCGGCUCAACUGAGGAACUGCCUUUGAAACUGUCGGGCUUGAGGCCGGGAGGGGGUAGCGGAAUUCCCAGUGUAGCGGUGAAAUGCGUAGAUAUUGGGAGGAACACCGGUGGCGAAGGCGGCUACCUGGACCGGUUCUGACGCUGAUGCGCGAAAGCGUGGGUAGCAAACAGG